rnacentral:misc_RNA from 1 species
AAAAAGAACACUAAGAAAAUUGUAGGACAAAGAUGAGUUUUAAAAGAGUUCCAUGUCAAUAGAAAACAGAAGCAGCAUAUAAAAUCACAUAAUGUUUCCUCAUUUUGGGAUAUCAUAUUGUAGCGAAUACCAAAAACAUCAAAACUGAACUAGGAAUAUUCCCAUAUACUCGAUGUCCUCAGCUGACUUGAUACUAAGAAGAUAGAAAUGUUUCUUAUACAACAGCUUCAACAUCAUCCGAGUUCACAGCAGCUCCAUUUGGUGUGUCAUCUGACCUCAACUGGGUAGAAAUGUCAUCAAUCGCCGAGUUCAGCUGGUCAAUCUUUUCAGCAAGCUUCUUGCGUUGUUUCUCUAAUGCUUUGUCUUCGUCAUAUAUAAACUUGGGCAAUUUUCUCAUCAGGUCCUUCUUAUCAGCUCCAGCUAAUGCCUUGCUGAUCUGAGGUGCAAACACACAUCCAAGAGUGCCAACAAUUAUUCCUCCCAGAACAAAGCCACCAACAAAGAUGCCAGCACCGCUUCCGCUUGACCUUCCACCAUCACUGUAUGACGCUUGAAUGAUCAAUGAUCUUUUAGAAGAAUAUGAUUUUCCUCCGUGACUUGGACUGAAGGACAACUUGGUAGCACUAACAUUUUGGUCCAGUGACUUCAAGCAAGAACCUGAGGAGAAAUGGAGAGAAGGGCUUCUGGGUUUGGAUAAAAUCAAUGAAUUUGAAAGAGCAGUCAUUUUUGCAGUGAAACAAAUUUGGAUUGUGGAGAAGAUUACAACAGAGAAGUGAUUAAUGGGUUAUAGUACGUUUAUAUUUUUCCUCAUUCGAUAAUAUCAAUGAGG